GAUGAACGCUAGCGGCAGGCCUAAUACAUGCAAGUCGAACGGGCGGUAGCAAUACCGCUAGUGGCGCACGGGUGCGUAACGCGUAACCAACCUACCUGGAUCUGGGGGAUAGCCCGCCGAAAGGCGGAUUAAUACCGCAUAAGACUACAGAGUGGCAUCACUUAGUAGUUAAAGAUUUAUUGGAUUCAGAUGGGGUUGCGUGACAUUAGCUAGUUGGCGGGGUAACGGCCCACCAAGGCGACGAUGUCUAGGGGACCUGAGAGGGUGAUCCCCCACACUGGCACUGAGAUACGGGCCAGACUCCUACGGGAGGCAGCAGUAGGGAAUAUUGGGCAAUGGGCGAGAGCCUGACCCAGCCAUGCCGCGUGCCGGAUGAAGGCCUUCUGGGUUGUAAACGGCUUUUCUCAGGGAAGAAAAAGGUGAUGCGUCACAAACUGACGGUACCUGAGGAAUAAGCAC
rnacentral:rRNA from 1 species